rnacentral:rRNA from 1 species
CCUACGGGAGGCAGCAGUGGGGAAUUUUGGACAAUGGGCGAAAGCCUGAUCCAGCAAUGCCGCGUGAGUGAAGAAGGCCUUCGGGUUGUAAAGCUCUUUUGUCAGGGAAGAAACGGUGAGAGCUAAUAUCUCUUGCUAAUGACGGUACCUGAAGAAUAAGCACCGGCUAACUACGUGCCAGCAGCCGCGGUAAUACGUAGGGUGCAAGCGUUAAUCGGAAUUACUGGGCGUAAAGCGUGCGCAGGCGGUUUUGUAAGUCUGAUGUGAAAUCCCCGGGCUCAACCUGGGAAUUGCAUUGGAGACUGCAAGGCUAGAAUCUGGCAGAGGGGGGUAGAAUUCCACGUGUAGCAGUGAAAUGCGUAGAUAUGUGGAGGAACACCGAUGGCGAAGGCAGCCCCCUGGGUCAAGAUUGACGCUCAUGCACGAAAGCGUGGGGAGCAAACAGGAUUAGAUACCCUGGUAGUCCACGCCCUAAACGAUGUCUACUAGUUGUCGGGUCUUAAUUGACUUGGUAACGCAGCUAACGCGUGAAGUAGACCGCCUGGGGGAGGUACGGUCGCGAGAAGUUAAAACGUUAAAAGUUAAGUAAGUUAGUACGGCGUGAGACGUAGACCGACGGACGACGACGAGGGGAGGAGG